rnacentral:tRNA from 1 species
GGAGAGGUGUCCGAGUGGUUUAAGGUGCAGCUCUCGAAAAGCUGUGUGGCGAAAGCCACCGUGGGUUCGAAUCCCACCCUCUCCGCCA